UAGGGAAUCUUCGGCAAUGGACGAAAGUCUGACCGAGCAACGCCGCGUGAGUGAAGAAGGUUUUCGGAUCGUAAAACUCUGUUGUUAGAGAAGAACAAGGACGUUAGUAACUGAACGUCCCCUGACGGUAUCUAACCAGAAAGCCACGGCUAACUACGUGCCAGCAGCCGCGGUAAUACGUAGGUGGCAAGCGUUGUCCGGAUUUAUUGGGCGUAAAGCGAGCGCAGGCGGUUUCGUAAGUCUGAUGUGAAAGCCCCCGGCUCAACCGGGGAGGGUCGUUGGAAACUGGGAGACUUGAGUGCAGAAGAGGGGAGUGGAAUUCCAUGUGUAGCGGUGAAAUACGUAGAUAUAUGGAGGAACGCCAGUGGCGAAGGCGGCUCUCUGGUCUGUAACUGACGCUGGGGCUCGAAAGCGUGGGGAGCAAACAGG
rnacentral:rRNA from 1 species